rnacentral:rRNA from 11 species
GCGGGACCAUCCGCCAAGGCUAAAUACUCCUGGGAGACCGAUAGUGAACCAGUACCGUGAGGGAAAGGUGAAAAGAACCGUGAACAACGGAGUGAAAUAGACCCUGAAACCAUACGCCUACAAGCGGUCGGAGCCCCUUCGGGGGUGACGGCGUGCCUUUUGCAUAAUGAGCCUACGAGUUACUUUUACCGGCAAGGUUAAGCACUUAUGGUGCGCAGCCGUAGCGAAAGCGAGUCUGAACAGGGCGUUUUAGUCGGUAGUAGUAGACGCGAAACCGUGCGAUCUACCCAUGGGCAGGUUGAAGCUGUGGUAACACAUAGUGGAGGACCGAACCCGUUGACGUUGAAAAGUCUUGGGAUGACCUGUGGGUAGGGGUGAAAGGCCAAUCAAGCUCGGAAAUAGCUCGUACUCCCCGAAAUGCAUUUAGGUGCAGCGUGUACAUAGUUUUAUAGAGGUAGAGCUACUGAUUGGAUGCGGGGGCUU